rnacentral:rRNA from 1 species
GAUGAACGCUGGCGGCGUGCCUAAUGCAUGCAAGUCGAGCGAACAGAUGAGGAGCUUGCUCCUCUGACGUUAGCGGCGGACGGGUGAGUAGCACGUGGAUAACCUACCUAUAAGACUGGGAUAACUUCGGGAAACCGGAGCUAAUACCGGAUAAUAUAUUGAACCGCAUGGUUCAAUAGUGAAAGACGGUUUUGCUGUCACUUAUAGAUGGAUCCGCGCCGCAUUAGCUAGUUGGUAAGGUAACGGCUUACCAAGGCAACGAUGCGUAGCCGACCUGAGAGGGUGAUCGGCCACACUGGAACUGAGACACGGUCCAGACUCCUACGGGAGGCAGCAGUAGGGAAUCUUCCGCAAUGGGCGAAAGCCUGACGGAGCAACGCCGCGUGAGUGAUGAAGGUCUUCGGAUCGUAAAACUCUGUUAUUAGGGAAGAACAAAUGUGUAAGUAACUAUGCACGUCUUGACGGUACCUAAUCAGAAAGCCACGGCUAACUACGUG